rnacentral:rRNA from 1 species
UACGUAGGGCCCAAGCGUUAUCCGGAUUGACUGGGCGUAAAGAGUUGCGUAGGCGGUCGGUAAAGCGAAUAGUGAAAUCUGGUGGCUCAACCACACAGGCUAUUAUUCGAACUCACCGACUCGAGAGUAGCAGAGGUAACUGGAAUUUCUAGUGUAGGAGUGAAAUCCGUAGAUAUUAGAAGGAACACCAAUGGCGUAGGCAGGUUACUGGGCUAUUUCUGACGCUAAGGCACGAAAGCGUGGGGAGCGAACCGG